rnacentral:tRNA from 1 species
GGCCCCAUAGUCUAGCGAUUAGGACGGCAGAUUCUCACUCUGCAGACAGGGGUUUGACUCCCCUUGGGGCUACCA